rnacentral:rRNA from 1 species
GAUGAACGCUGGCGGCGUGCUUAACACAUGCAAGUCGAACGAUGAAGCCCAGCUUGCUGGGUGGAUUAGUGGCGAACGGGUGAGUAACACGUGAGUAACCUGCCCUUAACUCUGGGAUAAGCCUGGGAAACUGGGUCUAAUACCGGAUAGGAGCGUCCACCGCAUGGUGGGUGUUGGAAAGAUUUAUCGGUUUUGGAUGGACUCGCGACCUAUCAGCUUGUUGGUGAGGUAAUGGCUCACCAAGGCGACGACGGGUAGCCGGCCUGAGAGGGUGACCGGCCACACUGGGACUGAGACACGGCCCAGACUCCUACGGGAGGCAGCAGUGGGGAAUAUUGCACAAUGGGCGAAAGCCUGAUGCAGCGACGCCGCGUGAGGGAUGACGGCCUUCGGGUUGUAAACCUCUUUCAGUAGGGAAGAAGCGAAAGUGACGGUACCUGCAGAAGAAGCACCGGCUAACUACGUG